rnacentral:rRNA from 1 species
UACGGAGGGUGCAAGCGUUAUCCGGAUUCACUGGGUUUAAAGGGUGUGUAGGCGGGCUGUUAAGUCAGUGGUGAAAUCUCCGGGCUCAACCCGGAAACUGCCAUUGAUACUAUCAGUCUUGAAUUUUGUUGAGGUAGGCGGAAUAUGUCAUGUAGCGGUGAAAUGCUUAGAUAUGACAUAGAACACCGAUUGCGAAGGCAGCUUACUAAGCAAAUAUUGACGCUGAGGCACGAAAGCGUGGGGAUCAAACAGGAUUAGAAACCCCAGUAGUCC